UACGGGGGGGGGCAAGCGUUGUUCGGAAUUACUGGGCGUAAAGGGCUCGUAGGCGGCCAACUAAGUCAUACGUGAAAUCCCUCGGCUUAACCGGGGAACUGCGUCUGAUACUGGAUGGCUUGAGUUCGGGAGAGGGAUGCGGAAUUCCAGGUGUAGCGGUGAAAUGACGUAGAUAUCUGGAGGAACACCAGUGGCGAAGGCGAGUCUCUGGACAUUUCCUGACUGCUGAGGCACGAA
rnacentral:rRNA from 1 species